GAGACCUACGCCCACAGUUGCCAGCGUACUCUCCGGAGUGACGGGUACACUGUGGGGACCGCCGCUGCUAAAGCGGAGGAAGGAAUGGGCAACGGUAGGUCAGUAUGCCCCGAAUAUCCCGGGCUACACGCGAGCUACAAUGGUUGGUACAAUGGGUAUCUACCCCGAAAGGGGAUGGAAAUCUCCUAAAGCCAAUCUUAGUUCGGAUUGAGGGCUGCAACUCGCCCUCAUGAAGCUGGAAUCCGUAGUAAUCGCGUUUCAACAGAACGCGGUGAAUAC
rnacentral:rRNA from 1 species